rnacentral:tRNA from 1 species
CAGGGAGACAACAAAAUGUUUAAUAUUAUUAUUUUGUCACCUUAGGUCGAUCGGUAUCUCACGUUUUUAAUUUAUUAAAAAUUUCAUUUCCUAAGUUUUUCUAGGUCACACCCAUUAUUUUUCCUGGGCCAUUAGCUCAGGUGGUUAGAGCGCACCCCUGAUAAGGGUGAGGUCCCUGGUUCAAGUCCAGGAUGGCCCAUAUCUCUAUGUUGGGGGUAUAGCUCAGUUGGUAGAGCGCCUGCUUUGCAAGCAGGAUGUCAGCGGUUCGAGUCCGCUUACCUCCACUGAUUACCACCUCUUCCAUAACUGGUAGAAAGGAAAUGUUUUGAGUUGUGAUCGAAUCCUGAAAGAAUCUAGCUUCCUAAUAAAAUCAUUAUGAUGCUGGACUCAUUGAAUUAAUUUCAUUGUUUUCAGAGAACCUAGACAACUGCAUAGAUUAUUUUAAAGACAAUAAGCAUCUUUAAUGAUGCAGAUUUAUUAUUUGUGCAAAUGCAUUAAUAACAAUUCUAUUAAGCUGAUGCUUCAAUUUUUGAAGUUAUU